rnacentral:rRNA from 1 species
UAUCCAACCCUGCCGUCUACUCUUGGACAGCCUUCUGAAAGGAAGAUUAAUACAAGAUGGCAUCAUGAGUCCGCAUGUUCACAUGAUUAAAGGUAUUCCGGUAGACGAUGGGGAUGCGUUCCAUUAGGUUGUUGGCGGGGUAACGGCCCACCAAGCCUUCGAUGGAUAGGGGUUCUGAGAGGAAGGUCCCCCACAUUGGAACUGAGACACGGUCCAAACUCCUACGGGAGGCAGCAUG